GACGAACGCUGGCGGCGUGCUUAACACAUGCAAGUCGAACGGAAAGGCCCUGCUUUUGUGGGGUGCUCGAGUGGCGAACGGGUGAGUAACACGUGAGUAACCUGCACUUGACUUUGGGAUAACUUCAGGAGACUGGGGCUCAUACCGGAUAGGAGCUCCUGCUGCAUGGUGGGGGUUGGAAAGUUUCGGCGGUUGGGGAUCGACUCGCGGCUUAUCAGCUUGUUGGUGGGGUAGUGGCUUACCAAGGCUUUGACGGGUAGCCGGCCUGAGAGGGUGACCGGCCACAUUGGGACUGAGAUACGGCCCAGACUCCUACGGGAGGCAGCAGUGGAGAAUAUUGCACAAUGGGCGGAAGUCUGAUGCAGCAACGCCGCGUGCGGGAUGACGGCCUUCGGGGGGUAAACCGAUGUCGCCGGUGACGAAGCGUUAUUGACGGUAAUGGGUAAAGAAGCACCGGCUAACUACGUG
rnacentral:rRNA from 1 species